GUGAGGAAUAUUGGUCAAUGGGCGGGAGCCUGAACCAGCCAAGUCGCGUGAAGGAAGAAGGAUCUAUGGUUCGUAAACUUCUUUUGCAGGGGAAUAAAGUGCAGGACGUGUCCUGUUUUGUAUGUACCCUGAGAAUAAGGAUCGGCUAACUCCGUGCCAGCAGCCGCGGUAAUACGGAGGAUCCGAGCGUUAUCCGGAUUUAUUGGGUUUAAAGGGUGCGUAGGUGGUUUGAUAAGUCAGCGGUGAAAGUUUGCAGCUUAACUGUAAAAAUGCCGUUGAAACUGUCGGACUUGAGUGUAAAUGAGGUAGGCGGAAUGCGUGGUGUAGCGGUGAAAUGCAUUGAUAUCACGCAGAACUCCGAUUGCGAAGGCAGCUUACUAAGCUACAACUGACACUGAAGCACGAAAGCGUGGGGAUCAAACAGGAUUAGAUACCCGAGUAGUCC
rnacentral:rRNA from 1 species